UCCCUGGAGGCCUAGUGGUUAGGCCUCUGUGCUGUCACUGCCACGGCCCAGGGUCGAGUCCUGGCCAGGGAA